UCUACAACCAGAGGUGCUGAGCACAGGUCUCAUUUAGUAGGUGGCUUUAUUGCUGCAUCCCACCAUGAUUGGUACCGUACACACACCGACCCAGAAAAGCUCUGGCUUGCCAGUAAGUCCAGAGCGCUCACAUGGAAUGACAAGAGUGAGGCUACACUACGAGAGCAUACAUGAGAGACAAGAGCAAGCGUGGAUGGGAAGACGUAAGGUUCUCCAGCAACAUUGUAACGACAGAAUUCACAGUGGCAGUGAGUGAAUCACCAGCGGAGAGCCUCACUGGAAUGCUGCAAGCAUGGGAAACACCAAACAUUCCUCAUGCAUGGUGGCAGGUGCUGAGGAUGAAGAACUAAACAGCUUAUCCUACUGGCAAGAUGGCUCCGUGAGCAAAGCGCUGGCCGCGUGAACCUGGUCAACCCAAAGAAGCCCAUUCCAUGGUAAGAACUGAGAAACUGCUUGCUCCCGAGGCUUGCGGAAGACCUCAGUCACCACAGGACUGCCAACAAGGAGUCAGGGAUGAAAGAGAAGACAGCUUGCCUGAUGAGAGCAGGCUGGCACGCUUAGUGAUGACCUCCUUGUACCGGGGGCAUCUGACUGGGAUGUUCAGCAAGUAGCAACAUAAUCUUGAAAGUGCUCUUCUUUGAAUUAAGAUGCCUGAAUUAAAAAAAAAUAAUAAUUUGAUUGACCAGGCCCCAAAUAGUGUAAGUAGCUUUUUGUUUUGUUACUGGAAAUAGAACUCAGGGCCUGGGACAUUCUAGGCAAUUGCUCUGCCCCUAAGCCACAAUAUCUCCAUAUGUGUAUAUGUACAUUUUUCCCCCAUUAUUUCUGUAGUGUUGGGGAUCCAGUUCAGGGCCUUGCACGGGCUAAGACAGUACUCUGCCAUUUGACACAUCUCCAGCAAAACUGAUGGGCAAGCCGGAACCAGAGGACCUUCUGGGCUGUGAUGAUUAGCAUAGGCCUCUAAAUUUGAAGGGCCCAGGAUCUGUAGGAUACCCUUCUCACCAAGGUCAUGGCCAACGAGACAGGCACAGGCCCUGCCUAGCCUGUGGACUUUGGCUCACACGCAUGGCUUCCAGUCUGCCCUCAAGUCCUCUGUUCCAGAUGCAGCCCUUUUCCUCAAAGGCCAUUCUGGACCUCGGACCCCACCACACAGCACGGAGACAGCUUUCCGGGGACCAUAUGUGUAGGCCCCAUAAUUAGAUAAUGAGGUUCCUUAGACUCUCCCUGGGUUUGUUGAAUCUGGCUGGACUCUGGCUAAUACAGUCCUGAGUGAGGGAAACCUCAGAGAUGGAAAUAACCAUGGGACGGAAGGGAUGGAUUUGCACUAUUUUUGAAGAGCCAAGUCCCCAUGGACAAUCAAACAUGGUGGCAUGGGGGAAAAGGUUGAGAAUGACUCAGAAUGUCUGAGGGUCUGUGACUGUGUCAAGGGCUUUUGUUACCAAUGCCAACGUGCUAUGGAGGGUUGCUGUCUGGACCAGCCACGCACGGCUUUUAGACGCCUUAGCCAAAGGACGGAAGAAGCACACACAGGCUGCAUAGUGGCAAGGAAGAUUUAUUCAGAUCAAGGAAAAUGAUAAGUGUAGAUCAGAUGUGCUGCGGGUGAUCAGGGGGCUCCCUGGGUUAGAAUCCUCAAGGGCCCAGGUUACUGUCUGGGGACUUUAUGGUAUCUACAAGGAGAAGCUGCUUGCUAAGGGUGUGGCUGGGGUGGUUCUCUGUCCUGGCUGAAAGACUUGGGUUGUAUAAGCAGUUCUACUGAGCAUGUCCCUUUCCCAUGAUGCAUGCGGCUUUAAUCACAUGAGUGUUAAUGUAUAAUCAUAGGCGUGAGAUAAUAGACUCUCCCUAAAAGUCGAUUCAGAGGACACAGUUUGCUGUAUUGUACACGUAUCCUAAAUAAGCAUUGCUGACCUUACUUGUCCAUCUACCACAUAGUUUCAGGAUCCAGGACUUGUCCGAAUAGAAUCAGGAAGUAACUUUUCAAGGGAUUGCUAGAGGGAAUGAGUUAUUUCCACUGUUUAAGUAAGUAUCUGCACAGCCUGACGCAGGUGGGGGUUCAAGUUGCACACGGGUUGUUAUGUGUAUUGCUCAGAAGAGGUUGUGCUGAUUGCUCAAGCCAAAUGUAGUCCCAGGAUGCUAAGCUGUUCCUACACUUGCCUACCUCAGGAGCCCAGCAGAGUUGAAAGGGAGAGGUGUGAAGAUUGUAGUUUUCGUCUUAAAUUUAAUGGGCCCAAGGGAUGCUUGAAUGGCCUAUGUGGGGAUUUAUAAUUGAUGCUCGCUUUAUGAACCUGAAGCCUUGUUUUUUUGUUUCGUGGUGCGAUUUCAUGUGUCCCAGGCUGGCCUGGAACUCGCCAUAAAACAGAGGAUGCCCUCAAACUCUUGAUCUUCUAGUUCCUACCUACAGAGGGCUGGGAUUAUAGGCACACAUCACCACACAUAAUGUGGACCUGAAGUUUAUUUAUUUUUUUAAUGUUUUAAUUUUUUUAAUAUUAGUUACAGUUUAUUAACUUUGUGUCCCAGCUGUAUCCCACUUUCUCAUUCCCUCCCAAUCCCACCCUCUCUCCCUCAUCUCCUCCCUGCCCCUUUCCAAGUCCACUGAUAGGGGAGGACCUCCUCCCCUUUCAUCUGACCCUGGUUUAUCAGGUAUCUUCAGGACUGGCUGCCAUGUCUGCCUCUGUGGCCUAGCAGGCCUGCUCCUCCCUCUCCCCUCCCCCCUCCCCCGCCGGGGCAGAAGGUCAAAGAGCCAGCUAUUGAGUUCAUGUCAGAAACAUUCCCUGUUCCCCUUACUAGGGUACACACUUGGAUACUGAGCUAUCAUGGGCUACAUUUGAACUGAGGUUCUAGGUUAUAUCCAUACAUGGUCCUUGGUUGGAGAAACAGUCUCAUAAAAGACUCCUGUGCCCAGAUAUAUUUGGGAGUUAAUAUGACCUGGAGAGGACAGGAGCUCCACAAGGACCUGAAGUUUAAAGAGAACAGCAGAAGCAACAUAUGGGGAUUAGGACAUAGGCUCUGUCAGCAGCAGCAGAGAUGAGACACUAAAAAAGCUGUGUUUAAGGGGAAAGCAGAGGAAGAUGAGCUAGUGAAAGAGUGUCAGGAUGAAAGACUCACAGGAGAAAGCCCAGGCCCAAAGGCAAGGAGAGAUUGGAUCGUAUAAAGAAAAGGGCGGUCAGAAGGUGAGUUGCCAUAGAGAACUAGACCAAAACCAGGAAUUUAUAUGUAUCCACUGGUUUCAGAGCCCAGGAGACACCUGGAGACAGACCUUAGAGCAGCAGUUCUCAAGAUGUGGUUAUCGAUCCCUCUGGGGAGAAAUGACCCUUUUCACAGGGAUCACUUAAGACCAUUGGAAAGCACAGACAUUCAGAGUAUGAUUCUUAGCAGUUGCAAAAUGACAGUUAUGAAGUAGCAACAAAGUGAUUUUGUGGUUGGGGGGGUCACUAUAACAUGAGGAGCUGUAUAAAGGGUCACAGCGUCAGGAAGGUUGUGAACCACUGCUUUAGAGGAUCUUCAGAGAGUGGUGAGGGAAAACACCAGACCGUAGUGAAAUGCUGCAUGGGAAUGGAGGCAUCGAACAGGCCAUGUGUAGACCAUGUCUUUAAAGCCUGGCUGUAAAGAGGAGAGCAACACGCAGAGGGGUCAUGGGGUUGACAAAGGGUCCAGCACCAAGCCGAAGACUGAAAUUUUUAUGAAGCCCACUGGAUACAUCAAAUCUAUAGGAUUCGGUAAGACUAAGAAUAAAAGCAUAGGUGAGAAGAGUAAAAUGGGAAUCUUAGGUGUGUCAAAAAUUUAGGGGUGGGUCAGGAGAGAUGGCUCAGAGGUUAAGAGCACUGGCUGCUCUUCCAGAGGUCCUGAGUUCAAUUCCCAACACCCACAUGGUGGCUUCCAACCAUCUAUAAUGAGAUCUGUUGCCCUCUUCUGGUGCAGCUGUACAUACAGGCAAAACACUGUAUACAUAAUAAAUAAAUAAAUAAAUAAAUAAAUCUUAAAAAAAAAAAUCUAGGGGUGGCAGAGGAGAUAAAGACAGAAAAGGAUGUCCCAGUUGGAGACAGACCAUGAGACUAAAGAGCAUAAAGAGGAAACACACCAAUGGCUUAGCAAUGAGAAUGUCAGUUCUUCCCCCUUCUCUGAGCAAUCUUGUGUUGGUAUGAAUAUGAGUCAAAGUAAGUGGCUUGAGAUGUAAUAUAAAUAAUCAAGGCAGUUAAAAGUUGACACUUCGGGGGAAAAAUAAUGCCAAGUCCAAGUAAUGGUUAAGGAUCCCCGAGGUAGGAAGGGAACACUCAUAUUUUGGCUGUGCUGGUGAGAAAAAUAUGUUUGGAAAGUUGGUAAUAUAUAUCCAGGGUUAGGGGCUGGAGAGAUGGCUCAGAGGUUAAGAGCACUGGCUGCUCUUCUAAAGAGGUUCCAUUCCCAGCACCCACAUGGCAGCUCACAGCUAUCUGUAACUCCAGUUUCAGAGGAUCUGGCAUAUUUACAUGUAGACAAAACACCAAUGUACAUAAAAUAAAAAGAGAAAUAAUUAAAAAAUA